rnacentral:rRNA from 1 species
UACAGAGGGGGCAAGCGUUGUUCGGAAUUACUGGGCGUAAAGCGCGCGUAGGCGGAUCUGCAAGUCGGGGGUGAAAUCCCGAGGCUCAACCUCGGAACUGCCUUCGAUACUGCGGGUCUCGAGUCCGGGAGAGGUGAGUGGAAUCCUAGUGUAGAGGUGAAAUUCGUAGAUAUUAGGAAGAACACCAGUGGCGAAGGCGGCUCACUGGCCCGGUACUGACGCUGAGGCGCGAAAGCGUGGGAGCAAAGCAGGAUU